rnacentral:piRNA from 1 species
UAAUGGUCCCGAUCGGAUACCUGGGAAGC